rnacentral:rRNA from 1 species
AUGGACAUAUCUCAGGAGCAACAACAAGAUUUUGGUGUGCUACUAAAGCAGGGGGCUGAAGGAAGGGUAUUUGUUUCUACAUUUGUUGGACGAAAAUGCGUAAUCAAAGAGCGCUUUUCAAAGAAGUACCGUCACCCAUUGCUGGACUCAAAGCUGACUCUAAAACGCUUAAAUGCUGAAGCUAGAUGCAUGACAAAAGCGAGGCGGCUUGGUGUUCCUACACCAGUUCUGUAUGCUGUGGACCCUCUUCAACAUACAUUAACCUUUGAGUAUGUGGAUGGCUUGUGCGUCAAAGAUAUUCUUCUUGGAUUUGGGUCAAAUGGGAUAAAUGAAGAACGUCUUAAUGACAUUGCCACACAGAUAGGUAAUGCAGUUGGCAAACUACACGAUGGAGGUCUUGUCCAUGGUGAUUUGACAACUUCAAAUAUGAUGAUCAAGAACAGCACCAAUCAACUGGUUCUUAUUGAUUUUGGUCUGAGCUUUACAUCAACUAUUCCCGAGGACAAGGCAGUGGACCUAUAUGUUCUUGAGAGAGCCUUGAUUUCCAUGCAUUCUUCAUGUGGGGAUGUGAUGGAGAAGAUCCUUGCAGCGUACCGAAAAGCUUCAAGGCAGUGGUGUGCCACUACGAACAAGCUAGCUCAAGUCAGGCAGCGGGGCAGAAAACGAACAAUGGUUGGGUAA